rnacentral:rRNA from 1 species
UACAGAGGUGGCAAGCGUUGUUCGGAAUUACUGGGCGUAAAGGGCGCGUAGGCGGCCUACUAAGUCAGACGUGAAAUCCCCAGGCUUAACUUGGGAACUGCGUCUGAUACUGGAAGGCUUGAGUGCGGGAGAGGGAUGUGGAAUUCCAGGUGUAGCGGUGAAAUGCGUAGAUAUGCGGAGGAACACCGAUGGCGAAGGCAAUCCCCUGGGCCUGCACUGACGCUCAUGCACGAAAGCGUGGGGAGCAAACAGG